AUGAACGCUAGCUACAGGCUUAACACAUGCAAGUCGAGGGGCAGCAUGGUCUUAGCUUGCUAAGGCCGAUGGCGACCGGCGCACGGGUGAGUAACACGUAUCCAACCUGCCGUCUACUCUUGGACAGCCUUCUGAAAGGAAGAUUAAUACAAGAUGGCAUCAUGAGUCCACAUGUUCACAUGAUUAAAGGUAUUCCGGUAGACGAUGGGGAUGCGUUCCAUUAGAUAGUAGGCGGGGUAACGGCCCACCUAGUCUUCGAUGGAUAGGGGUUCUGAGAGGAAGGUCCCCCAUAUUGGAACUGAGACACGGUCCAAACUCCUACGGGAGGCAGCAGUGAGGAAUAUUGGUCAAUGGGCGAGAGCCUGAACCAGCCAAGUAGCGUGAAGGAUGACUGCCCUAUGGGUUGUAAACUUCUUUUAUAAAGGAAUAAAGUCGGGUAUGGAUACCCGUUUGCAUGUACUUUAUGAAUAAGGAUCGGCUAACUCCGUGCCAGCAGCCGCGGUAAUACGGAGGAUCCGAGCGUUAUCCGGAUUUAUUGGGUUUAAAGGGAGCGUAGAUGGAUGUUUAAGUCAGUUGUGAAAGUUUGCGGCUCAACCGUAAAAUUGCAGUUGAUACUGGAUAUCUUGAGUGCAGUUGAGGCAGGCGGAAUUCGUGGUGUAGCGGUGAAAUGCUUAGAUAUCACGAAGAACUCCGAUUGCGAAGGCAGCCUGCUAAGCUGCAACUGACAUUGAGGCUCGAAAGUGUGGGUAUCAAACAGGAUUAGAUACCCUGGUAGUCCACACGGUAAACGAUGAAUACUCGCUGUUUGCGAUAUACGGCAAGCGGCCAUGCGAAAGCGUUAAGUAUUCCACCUGGGGAGUACGCCGGCAACGGUGAAACUCAAAGGAAUUGACGGGGGCCCGCACAAGCGGAGGAACAUGUGGUUUAAUUCGAUGAUACGCGAGGAACCUUACCCGGGCUUAAAUUGCAGAUGAAUUACGGUGAAAGCCGUAAGCCGCAAGGCAUCUGUGAAGGUGCUGCAUGGUUGUCGUCAGCUCGUGCCGUGAGGUGUCGGCUUAAGUGCCAUAACGAGCGCAACCCUUGUUGUCAGUUACUAACAGGUCAUGCUGAGGACUCUGACAAGACUGCCAUCGUAAGAUGUGAGGAAGGUGGGGAUGACGUCAAAUCAGCACGGCCCUUACGUCCGGGGCUACACACGUGUUACAAUGGGGGGUACAGAGGGCCGCUACCACGCGAGUGGAUGCCAAUCCCAAAAACCUCUCUCAGUUCGGACUGGAGUCUGCAACCCGACUCCACGAAGCUGGAUUCGCUAGUAAUCGCGCAUCAGCCACGGCGCGGUGAAUACGUUCCCGGGCCUUGUACACACCGCCCGUCAAGCCAUGGGAGCCGGGGGUACCUGAAGUGCGUAACCGCGAGGAGCGCCCUAGGGUAAAACUGGUGACUGGGGCU
rnacentral:rRNA from 1 species